rnacentral:rRNA from 1 species
GAUGAACGCUGGCGGCAUGCCUAAUACAUGCAAGUCGAACGAGAGGAAAAGAAGCUUGCUUCUUUGAAUCUAGUGGCGAACGGGUGAGUAACACGUAGGUAACCUGCCCAUGUGCCCGGGAUAACUUCUGGAAACGGAUGCUAAAACCGGAUAGGUAGCAGACAAGCAUUUGACUGCUAUUAAAGUGGCCUUGGCCAUGAACAUGGAUGGACCUGCGGUGCAUUAGCUAGUUGGUGAGGUAACGGCCCACCAAGGCGACGAUACAUAGCCGGCCUGAGAGGGCGGACGGCCACAUUGGGACUGAGACACGGCCCAAACUCCUACGGGAGGCAGCAGUAGGGAAUUUUCGUCAAUGGGGGGAACCCUGAACGAGCAAUGCCGCGUGAGUGAGGAAGGUCUUCGGAUCGUAAAGCUCUGUUGUAAGAGAAAAACGGCACUCAUAGGGAAUGAUGAGUGAGUGAUGGUAUCUUACCAGAAAGUCACGGCUAACUACGUGCCAGCAGCCGCCGUAA